rnacentral:rRNA from 1 species
UACGGGGGGAGCAAGCGUUGUUCGGAUUUACUGGGCGUAAAGGGCGCGUAGGCGGUCGUGACAAGUCACUUGUGAAAUCUCCGGGCUUAACUCGGAACGGUCAAGUGAUACUGUCGGACUAGAGUACAGAAGGGGCAACUGGAAUUCUCGGUGUAGCGGUGAAAUGCGUAGAUAUCGAGAGGAACACCUGCGGCGAAGGCGGGUUGCUGGGCUGAUACUGACGCUGAGCGCGAAGACCAGGGAGCGAACGGGA